UCGGCUUAAGAUGAGCCCGCGUUGGAUUAGCUGGUUGGUGGGGUAAAGGCCUACCAAGGCGACGAUCCAUAGCUGGUCUGAGAGGAUGAUCAGCCACACUGGGACUGAGACACGGCCCAGACUCCUACGGGAGGCAGCAGUGGGGAAUAUUGGACAAUGGGCGCAAGCCUGAUCCAGCCAUGCCGCGUGAGUGAAGAAGGCCUUAGGGUUGUAAAGCUCUUUCACCGGUGAAGAUAAUGACGGUAGCCGGAGAAGAAGCCCCGGCUAACUUCGUGCCAGCAGCCGCGGUAAUACGAAGGGGGCUAGCGUUGUUCGGAUUUACUGGGCGUAAAGCGCGCGUAUGCGGAUAGAUAAGUCAGAGGUGAAAUCCCGGGGCUCAACCCCGGAAUUGCCUUUGAUACUGUUUAUCUUGAGUGCAGAAGAGGUAAGUGGAAUUCCGAGUGUAGAGGUGAAAUUCGUAGAUAUUCGGAGGAACACCAGUGGCGUAGGCGGCUUACUGGUCUGCAAC
rnacentral:rRNA from 2 species